UGGAAUUUCCACUAGGCAUAUCCUGCCUCACAUCUGUGUUACUUGCUUUUUAUGCAAAUCAAGGAUUUAUUUGCAGGGCUAGGGAAGGUUAUGGCCAUCAGCUGUCCCCUUUACUGCUUCUUCAUGAUACAUAAGGGUGGCCUCAAAGAUUUUACCAAGAGUUAAAGAAAAGGGUGGACCUUUGUUUGUUUUUUAACAAUAUAAGGAACAUCAAACUGUGCCUUGGGCGGCUGCUGUUUUCUGGAGAACUAGGCCCCCACCCUGCAAGCUGCUUUGUGGAGCUAGAUGACUCAGCUUGUUCAGAACCCCCUGGAAGUCAGUUGGAUUCCAUAGGAGCAUGGAGCUCAUUACAGGAUCAGACUCUGGACCAGGAACACCACAGCUCAGAUUGCAGCUGAUAGUAACAUUGCAGUCCCAGCAAUUCUCUGCUCUCCCACUGGGUCUUCUAGCAAAAACCAGACAUUUCUCAUGGAGCAACAGGAAACAGAGAUGAACUUCAAAGCAACAAUACACAUUACCUAUUCUUCAGCCAAUGAAGCCUGCUGUGAUCACAGAUGAACUUCAGCUAUAAAGAAGGUUUCGGGCUUGAUCCUUGCUAUCUCGCUAUCUCAGAUCUAUUUAAACUUUGUCAGGGAAAAUCUAAGUCGCAAGACUGAGGUCUCCGGGUCUAUUCUGGAUUAUCCCUGCAAUUUCUCAUGGAAGAAUUUGAACACACUCUGCACAUGGACUGUCUAUUGGACUAUAACCUUUAAAAUUUAUUUGAGAAGGAUUUUUAUAAAUCAGCAACCUCACAAUCUAUGCUAUGAAACUGACCUAAGAACUUUAUUCAUGUCUGAAACAUAGGAUGAUUUCUUAACCACAGUAAUUCUUUUUCUUUUUUAAUAAUCUAAGAUUUAGUUAAUAAGAAUCAUCUGUAAGCAUGUAUUUGGGUCUUUGAGAUAUUCAUUGACCUUGUGGGAAAUGUGUCCAAUCUCUUGGGAUUUAUAUAUGGUGAAUAAGGUUUUCAGUAACCCUCACUAUAUUAGACUUGGUUGUCUCUUAAAGGGAACUGUAUUUUGACAUCUUGGAAACCAGUAAGGUAUUGCUGAAGCUGUUUUGUUAUUGGCUUGAUGAAAUCUAGUUAUAGAAUAAACCACCAGUUCUGGGGAUCGUCUGCCCUAUUCUUUGCAGUUUGCCUCUGAUUGAGCAUUCUCAGUAUAGCCCCUCCAGCGACCACGGUCACAUCUAGCACUACAUAUAAGCUGUGCAAAGCACUGCAAUUUACACAGGAGUUAAAAUAAGGGUGAGGUUGGGAGUGUAGCACUUCCCCUCUUCUUUGGCUGGCAUGGUGAGGGUUCCUCCUCCUCUUUCAAUCUGUUGUAAUUGCUGGGCUUGCACUAAUGAUAAUACAGUGUUUGGAGGAUGGCUGCAGAAUGCAAUCAUGCUUUUUACAAAAGAGCAGAGAAUACUUAAAGGGAAGGGGGAAAUGAACAGGAAUGUAGAGAGCAGAUUGGAAUGCAAAAAUAAAAAUAAAGUGGGAGCUGGAAGAAUAGACAAGAAAAGAAAGUAAAAAGAGGUUGCCCGAAGAAACUCUGAUUUAUGUACCAACAUCCAGCCUAUGUUUUAGCAGAUUUCCUUAAGGAUGUGAUUGUACAUGGGCUAGGUAGAUAUUUAUUUUUUUAAAACUGUUGUCACCCUUUUUCUUUUGGUAUGAGUUCAUCUACCAUAAGGCCAGCAGGUCAAGAAGUUUGGGCUGAGAAAGCAGCAACUAAUAAAGAAAUAAAAAGGGUGCGUGGGUGGAAAUAAAGGGUUUAUGAAAAUUAGAGAGAAAUUUAUUUGAGGGGGAGAAUUCUGAGGUUUUUGUAGAAUAUCAUAGGGAUAUUUCCUGUGAUGUGCAGCUCCAGAGUCACUGCAAUUCUGCAGAAGGGUCUGACAAAUUCAGCUGAGAUUCUUUCUACCCCCCACUUUCAGAAUUCUGCAGAUCACAAGUUAUCUUGGUCUGAGGCAUUUGUAAUCUACUUUUGCAAGUGUUACAUGAAAAGCAGGGUGUAUGGGAAAAUUACAAGUCUACAAACCCAUCACUAAUGCCAUGUUCACACAAUAUCUAAAACACAGAGGCAAUUAUUCAAAUAGCACCACAUCAGAUGCUGCAAAUUGGGAAACUCAAGCUUAGAUCUGCUAUUGAAUUCCCACUUUUCCUGAUAAAUGGAAGACCAGACACUUUAGCAACUGCAGAGUCUUCAGCUGAAAGAUUUAGGAAGCAAGCCUAAUUCAUUUCUUGCAUACUACAUUUUCACACAAAUGUAACUCCACUGAAUCAAAUAGGGUUAUGCUUGAUUUACACUUGUAUAAGUGUGAGGUGAAUCAAUUUUUAUUACUCCACCAUGAUCCAUGCCAGCUGAGGAGAAACAAAGACAUCAUCUUUCCUUAAUCCGAAAGGUCAGCUGUGAUGAGCCACUUUGCAGUUGGUAUGAAGAAAAAAUUGGGGGAGGGAGUUGGGAGGAAAGAAAAAUACCACAACUGAAACUAUAAGGGUAGUGAGGGAACCCUCAAAUCUCCUUGCAUUUUAAGCAAAAUAACACAAAAAUCUUGCUUUGGAAAAAAGUUGAGAAGAGUCCAUUCUAGUAAUAAAUAUGGACUGGAGGAUCUGGAACAAAUGUAGAAGUGAUUUUGAGCCCAAAAGCUCAGUGUUUUCUUGUUCAUUUGAGUUUAUGUUUUUUGUUUUUUAAAAGUACCUUUAAAAACCCAGCAAGGGUUUAUCUCCUCAGGCUCUAUAAAUAAACAAUAAAAUAAAGUAACUCCAUAGUGAAAGCUGAAUUUUAAUUUCUAAUCUAAACCCAGAUGUUACUAGACAAUCUACAACUGACAUGUCACACUGGCCUCUAAACUGAUAGGUUAUAUUUGUGGUCUAAGUAGAAUUUUCCCACAACAUUUGAAAUGAAUAAAAUAGGGCUUAUGUAUUAUGAUACAGUAAAAACAGAGUUAGUAAACAUGUUUCCAAAACAUUUUGUAUUCUUGCUGCUUUCUAGCAAAACAUGAACAAACCAGAACAAAAGAGAUUGUUCAAAACCCAUAUUUGUAGACUCUCUUGUCAGUUGGCUUGGCAGCAUUACUUUUUUAUAUAAUUUUGUCUGAUAAUAUUGCUUUAUUUUUAUGCUUUGUUAAAGAUCAAUUUAAAUUU